GCGGGCAAGAUGCCGGGGGGGGGGGGGGAGCUGGCUGUGGGGAGCACUGGGACCUGGGGCACACGCAUGUGAAACCCAUCGGGCUAUACUGUCAAGGGCUCUGUCCCAGUGCUGACCACACGCCACCAAGACCUCGUCUCCCACCAGCACCCUGGCCCUGCAGGGAGGCCCGGACCGCAUCUUCGUGUCACUGAGCACAAGCGACAGGUGCCUAAAGAAUACGUGCACGUGUGUGAUGAAGGGACAGGUCCCUGCGGCUGGUUGGUACUUGACGUCACAGCCCCGUCCUCUGAGAAGCCGUCACAGACUGACACCCAGCGGUGUCAAAAGCUGGCCGCAGAGUGAGCGCCCGGCGGCAGUGACACGUACCGUCAACAGUCCCUCCAACUUCCCCGCCGGGACCGCCCCUCCGGGACACGUGGCUCGGAGACCAGUCACCGCUGACCUGCGCGUCUAGGAUGUCUGCCAGCUCCCGCUUCCUCCGACAGAGGAGAAGUUUGCGCUUCAGCUCGUGGGCCUUUUUCUGCAGCUUCUCCCUCUCUUUGCACAUUAGUAAUAAGUUUCUCUCUGCCUUUUCUUCGAACGGAACCAGGUUGUUCUCCAUCUGUUGAGUGUGCAACCAGAGCUCAGGCCGGAGGAAACUCCUCUCUGCGGCUGACAAAGGCCGCUUUCCACCCGCAUCACGCGGGAGCGAGGCUCCGUUCUCACCUUUACGGCCAGUAGAGUCAGGAGCAACGUUUGGGAUUCCAUCAUUUCCAUCGACUCAGACGGGCCCUCGAGGGUGAGAAAAAGACAUUUUUGGUUGCCGACGAAUUCGUAUAAAUCUAGCUCUCUCCCCCAGAGGGGCAGAAACCUAACCUUUACAAACUUUACUCCGUUCAGGGGUUUGAGGAUUCUCUCCUGUAGGUCAACCCACUGUGUCUACUUUCCAGUUUAGUCUUUUUGGGCACUCUGGGAGAAGGCAGACGAAGGUCUGGCCCCCUCCCGUGGCUGGCUGGUGAAGGGCCAGCCAGGGGGCACCCAUCCGGUCACCGCCGCACCGGAACCAGGUCUUGGGCCUCCCACCCCCGUGAGACCGCAGCCCAGGUGUCCUCCCCUGGGGACACGGCCUGGCCCCGGGCCUCCCCGAGCACGGCAUCAGCAAAUAAGGCCCCAAAUCUCAUUUUUCACGCGAUCUCGCAUUCGUAACUACUCCUGUAUGUGUACUUGGGGAAACGUAAGCUCUAGGAACAUUCUGAGAACACGCGUGGUCUCCGGUUUGUCCUAAAACGCACGGCUGGCUUGUUCAGUCAUAAAGCCUCAGGGCCUCGAGUGGCACCUGAAUGGGGCAGGAGCUGGUAUCAGCUUUCUCUGACUGAGUAGCUUCCCUUUCAUUUCGGACACUUACUGGGCUCUUCUUCUGUGAAGCCGAAAAGGACGUCGACUCGGUUUUCUUUGACAUCGUUUUUUCUAACUGCGGAGUCUUUCUAACCAUGCUUUUGUCUAAGGCCAAGGAGAGCAUUUUGAAGGUGAGAGGAGCUUCCUUUGGAAGCCGAAUGGGACAACCCCCCGCUAGGGAAACCAGGGGCAGGGCGGAUGGCUUACCGUUGAUGGCCGAGAGGUCCAGGUCAGGCGGGGCGGUGCCGUGCCCUUCCAGCAACGUGGACUGCAGGUCUCCUUUCCCAAUGCCACUGCUGUCUGUGGGCCCAGGGAGAACCCCCAGAGGUCAGCACGGUCUGCAAGGUACUGCACACGCCUCCGCCGGGAAGCCGGCAACCUCUCUGGAUGCUACCACCUGCUUCCAAAAACUCAGCUUCUUGGGAGGUGAGCAGCACUGAAGGCUGAGAAAGCUUUGCAACUCCCCAGCCAGCGGGUUGAAUGGAUUUCUAAGUAGAACUAGAAAUGAGACGCAGGCUUUAUAAGCCUUUCUGCGUAGCUUAAUAAAAAAAUGCUGUGUUCUGGGUA